rnacentral:rRNA from 1 species
AUUGAACGCUGGCGGUAUGCUUAACACAUGCAAGUCGAACGGUAGCAGGCCUUCGGGCGCUGACGAGUGGCGGACGGGUGAGUAACGCGUAGGAAUCUGCCUGUUAGUGGGGGACAACUUAGGGAAACUUAAGCUAAUACCGCAUACGCCCUACGGGGGAAAGGAGGGGACCUUCGGGCCUUCCGCUAACAGAUGAGCCUGCGUUGGAUUAGCUAGUUGGUAAGGUAAAGGCCUACCAAGGCGACGAUCCAUAGCUGGUCUGAGAGGACGAUCAGCCACACUGGGACUGAGACACGGCCCAGACUCCUACGGGAGGCAGCAGUGGGGAAUAUUGGACAAUGGGCGCAAGCCUGAUCCAGCAAUACCGCGUGUGUGAAGAAGGCCCGAGGGUUGUAAAGCACUUUCAAUAGGGAGGAACACCUGCUGAUUAAUACUUGGCAGACUGACAUUACCUAUACAAGAAGCACCGGCUAACUCCGUGCCAGCAGCCGCGGUAA